GAUUCUAUAGUGUAGCGGUUAGCACAUCUGCUUUACACGCAGAAGGUCCUGGGUUCGGUCCCCCAUGGAGCCA
rnacentral:tRNA from 1 species